UAUUUGCCCUUUGAAACAGGUUUCCCUGUCCUCCUUACAGGACAGGAAUGAAAAGGGAACCGGGUGGAAAUCCCGGACAGACCACGCUGCUGUGAAACUUCGGUAACAUACCGGCAAUACUCAAUGCCACUGAUCGGGGGAUCGGGAAGGUGUCCGGGGAUGGAAGUAAGUCAGAAGACCUGCCGUUUCGGUUUUGAAGAGU
rnacentral:ncRNA from 20 species